rnacentral:pre_miRNA from 1 species
AUAGUACUCCCUCCGUCCGAAAAAACUUGUCCCAAGCUUGUUCCUCAAAUGGAUGUAUCUAGCACUAACUUGGUGCUAGAUACAACCAUUUGAGGGACAAGUUUUUUGGGACGGAGGGAGUACUUA